GAGCUAACGCGUUAAGCGAGCCGCCUGGGAAGUACGGUCGCAAGACUAAAACUCAAAGAAAUUGACGGGGACCCGCACAAGCGGUGGAGUAUGUGGCUUAAUUCGAUGCAACGCGAAGAACCUUACCUAGGCUUGACAUGCUUGUCGUACUCUCCCGAAAAGGAGAGGUCACUUCGGGUGGACAAUGCACAGGUGCUGCAUGGCCGUCGUCAGCUCGUGUCGUGAGAUGUUUGGUUAAGUCCAGCAACGAGCGCAACCCCUGUGAACUGUUGCCAGCGCGUAAAGGCGGGGACUCUGUUCAGACUGCCCAGAUCAACUGGGAGGAAGGUGGGGACGACGUCAGGUCAGUAUGGCCCUUACGCCUAGGGCUGCACACGUACUACAAUGCCCAGCACAAUGAGAACCGAGACCGCAAGGUGGAGGAAAUCUGCAAAACUGGGCCCAGUUCGGAUUGGAGGCUGCAACUCGCCUCCAUGAAGUCGGAAUCGCUAGUAAUGCCGUAUCAGCUACGACGGCGUGAAUACGUUCCCGGGUCUUGUACACACCGCCCGUCACAUCAUGGAAGCCGGUCGCACCCGAAGUAUAUGCGCUAACUUUAUUGAAGCAGUAUCCUAAGGUGAGGCUGGUAACUGGGAUGAAGUCGUAACAAGGUAGCCGUAGGGGAACCUGCGGCUGGAUCACCUCCUUU
rnacentral:rRNA from 1 species